rnacentral:lncRNA from 1 species
AACAGGGUGCCAGUAAAAAAGGUAGUUCACCUGACGGGAUUUCAUAUUAAGAAUGUGCAGAAAAAGACGAAAUUAAGCAGCUAUUACAAUGACUGAACAAAAACUAAUGUUAAUUAUUUUUAUAAUUAUAUUGUGAGAGCUUGAAGCUGUCGUCAUUUGUCAUAAUCAAGGUCAUCAAAAAUAUUUUGAAUUUUAAAUCCUCAUAAAAGAAGGUUUGUGACAGAAGUGCAGAAUCGUGUUUAUAGUUUGCCAACUGCCAUCUCAUUAAUGAAAUUAUUGAAAUAU